UACAGAGGGUGCGAGCGUUAAUCGGAAUUACUGGGCGUAAAGCGCGCGUAGGCGGCUUUGCAAGUCGGGUGUGAAAUCCCCAGGCUUAACCUGGGAACUGCAUUCGAGACUGCAUUGCUAGAGUAUGGGAGAGGGAAGUGGAAUUUCCGGUGUCAGCGGUGAAAUGCGUAGAUAUCGGAAGGAACAUCAGUGGCGAAAGCGACUUCCUGGACCAAUACUGACGCUCAUGUGCGAAAGCGUGGGGAGCAAACAGG
rnacentral:rRNA from 1 species